UACAGAGGGGGCAAGCGUUGUUCGGAAUUACUGGGCGUAAAGGGUGCGUAGGUGGUUGUUUAAGUCUGUUGUGAAAGCCCCGGGCUCAACCUGGGAAUGGCAAUGGAUACUGGACAGCUAGAGUGCGGUAGAGGGUAGUGGAAUUCCCGGUGUAGCAGUGAAAUGCGUAGAGAUCGGGAGGAACACCAGUGGCGAAGGCGGCUACCUGGACCAGCACUGACACUGAAGCACGAAAGCGUGGGGAGCAAACAGG
rnacentral:rRNA from 1 species